AUUGAACGCUGGCGGCAUGCCUUACACAUGCAAGUCGGACGGCAGCACGGGUGCUUGCACCUGGUGGCGAGUGGCGAACGGGUGAGUAAUACAUCGGAACAUGUCCUGUAGUGGGGGAUAGCCCGGCGAAAGCCGGAUUAAUACCGCAUACGAUCUACGGAUGAAAGCGGGGGACCUUCGGGCCUCGCGCUAUAGGGUUGGCCGAUGGCUGAUUAGCUAGUUGGUGGGGUAAAGGCCUACCAAGGCGACGAUCAGUAGCUGGUCUGAGAGGACGACCAGCCACACUGGGACUGAGACACGGCCCAGACUCCUACGGGAGGCAGCAGUGGGGAAUUUUGGACAAUGGGCGAAAGCCUGAUCCAGCAAUGCCGCGUGUGUGAAGAAGGCCUUCGGGUUGUAAAGCACUUUUGUCCGGAAAGAAAUCCUUGGCCCUAAUACGGUCGGGGGAUGACGGUACCGGAAGAAUAAGCACCGGCUAACUACGU
rnacentral:rRNA from 1 species